rnacentral:rRNA from 1 species
AAGGAUCAUUACAGAGUUCAUGCCCUCACGGGUAGAUCUCCCACCCUUGAAUAUUAUACCUUAGUUGCUUUGGCAGGCCGGGGCAACCCCCGGGGCUUCGGCCUUGGUGUGCCUGCCAGAGGAAACAAACUCUGUUUUUAGUGAUGUCUGGGUACUAUAUAAUAGUUAAAACUUUCAACAACGGAUCUCUUGGUUCUGGCAUCGAUGAAGAACGCAGCGAAAUGCGAUAAGUAAUGUGGAUUGCAGAAUUCAGUGAAUCAUCGAAUCUUUGAACGCACAUUGCGCCCCGUGGUAUUCCGCGGGGCAUGCCUGUUCGAGCGUCAUUUCAACCCAUCAAGCUUCGGCUUGGUCUUGGGGCCUGCGAUUCCGCAGCCUCUAAACCCAGUGGCGGUGCCUCCGAGCUCUGAGCGUAGUAAUUCUUCUCGCUAUAGGGUCUCGGUGGUGUCUUGCCAGCAACCCCCAAUUUUUUACAGGUUGACCUCGGAUCAGGUAGGGAUACCCGCUGAACUUAAGCAUAUCAAUAAGCGGAGGAAAAGAAACCAACAGGGAUUACCUCAGUAACGGCGAGUGAAGCGGUAACAGCUCAAAUUUGAAAUCUGCCGCAAGGCCGAGUUGUAAUUUGUAGAAGAUGCUUUGGGUAUGGCCCCGGUCUAAGUUCGUUGGAACACGACGUCAUAGAGGGUGAGAAUCCCGUAUGUGACUGGGUGCUUUUGCCUAUGUAAAGCUCUUUCGACGAGUCGAGUUGUUUGGGAAUGCAGCUCAAAAUGGGUGGUAUAUUUCAUCUAAAGCUAAAUAUUGGCCAGAGACCGAUAGCGCACAAGUAGAGUGAUCGAAAGAUGAAAAGCACUUUGGAAAGAGAGUUAAACAGUACGUGAAAUUGUUGAAAGGGAAGCGCUUGCAACCAGACUUGCGCGCUGUUGAUCAUCCAGGCUUCUGUCUGGUGCACUCGGCAGCGUUCAGGCCAGCAUCGGUUCUGGUGGUGGGAUAAAGGCCUUGGGAAUGUAGCUUCUUUCGGGGAGUGUUAUAGCCCUCGGUGCAAUGCCGCCUAUCGGGACCGAGGACCGCGCUUCGGCUAGGAUGCUGGCGUAAUGGUUGUAAGCGACC